AUUGAACGCUGGCGGCAGGCCUAACACAUGCAAGUCGAGCGGAAGAGGGUAGCUGGCUCCUGGAUUCAGCGGCGGACGGGUGAGUAAUGCCUAGGAACCGGCCUGGUAGGGGGGGAUAACGUCCGGAAACGGGCGCUAAUACCGCAUACGUCCUGAGGGGGAAAGUUGAGGAUCGUCGGACCUCACGGUAUGAGAUGAGCAUAGGUCGGAUUAGCUAGUUGGUGGGGUAAAGGCCUACCAAGGCGACGAUCCGUAACUGGUCUGAGAGGAUGAUCAGUCACACUGGAACUGAGACACGGUCCGGACUCCUACGGGAGGCAGCAGUGGGGAAUAUUGGACUAUGCGCGAAAGCCUGAUCCAGCCAUGCCGCGUGUGUGAAGAAGGUCUUCCGAUUGUAAAGCUCAUUAAGUUGGGAAGAAGGGCAGUAAGUUCAUACCGUGCUGUUUUGACGUUACCAACAGAAUAAGCACCGGCUAACUCCGUG
rnacentral:rRNA from 1 species